GUGUGAGAGAUGCCUGUGGAACCUUCCCUUGCUGUCCAUGCUGAGGUGCAGCACCCUGAAACAGGAAUCAAAGCAGGAAAGGUGCUGCUGGCUGCCAGUGCUUCAUGAGGGAGUUUUUGUUCCUCCUGGUGCAUGGGGGACUGACUCACAGCCUAUCUCAGGUGGCUGUCAGAUUGUCAGUGACCAUGAUAAAGCUUUCACUUGGCCCAGCUGGGGAGGCUUAGAAGAGAUUGCAAUGGGAACCAGCUGCUCACAUGUCUGUGAUGAGCAGGCUCACAGGAAGAUUUUUACUCAAUUUCUGUGUCUUGCAUUAUUUAACUUACCACCUGAUGUUCCUGCCAUACAGUAAAUCCAGAAAAUUACUAGCUGCUGAGAUUUUCACUCUGUGUGUCUGUUUGUGCAGAUACAUAAGUUUCUGGAGAAUUUAAAAUUACAUGAAGGAAUUUGAGCAUGACAUUUUAGCUGGUUUCUAUUCUGCGCCUGGUGCUCUGGCAGUGCCUAGAGCUUUCAAUUCUGUUACUGCAGUCUGCAAGGAUCUACUCUGCAUUACCCCAGCCUCUGCACAGACACGUCCUGCAGGCUGAUAAUAAUCAGGGAAUUGCUAACACGUUGGAAGCCAGCUGCAGGAUCUGGUUCUGGGAGGGAUCGAUCUUCAGAAGCUUUGCAAGUGUUAUCUGUCCUGUUAAAGGGAAGGGCUGGUAAUUCAACUUUUCAUUCUCCUGUGAGUCAUGGAGCAAAUAGUCCAGCAGAUGGAUCUGAGGUUCCUUCAGACUUUUUAUUUUCAGUAAGUGAGCACUAGAGGACAACAGAAAGUUGAUGCUGAAUUUGCCACUUCUUUGCACAAAACUGCUGCAGAGAGUACCUUGCAAAGUGGGUCCUUUCCUCUUUCCAUGGAAGUUCAUGAGGGUACCUAAAGACUAAGUCCAGAUGCCUGGAUCAGGUAUUUGGCACCACAAUGCUUACUGCAAAUAGAUAUAAGAGUGAAUCGAACAUUACUGAGCUGUUAACCUCAGAAUAUGAAACACCUCUGAAACCUCUUUGUGUGAAGAACACAUGGUCUCCCUCAAAACUGUGCAACCAGAAAAAUUAGGAAGUUCUGCAAAUGGACCUAUAAAUUAUUUAAAUAUAAAUGAUGGUAUCAAAGGAGAAAAAACAGGAAAAAAAAGGAGAAAAAAAUGGUAUGAACUGUGGGAGUGCCUGCUUGGUACUUGGAUCAUCAAAAGCAGUGAAUGAUAUCCUGAAAGGGCCUGUUCUUCUCUACCAGCCAUGGCUGAAGUGUGGAUACCAAAUGCAGAUGUUUUCCAUGGCUGACAUUAGACCCUGCAGGAUCUGCACAGAGAGGCUGCCCUCUCUCCAAGUCUCUGCCCAGGCUUGCUGAGCUGGUGCCCGUAGCAGCUGAGGGUUUGCUGAGGCUUGUCAUGUCCCCUCAUCCUUUUUGUCUGGGCUUGUUGCAACUGCUGUUUUCUGCCUGGCUUAGCAUCUUUAGUCUUUUCUUCCAUAAAAUGUGCCGAAACUAAGACAAGCAUCUAUGGCCCCUGGAGGAGCUGUAGCCAUGAACUUGGGCAAUUUUUAAUUCAGCUUUUCAAGGACAUAGCUGUUUACAAUUUCUAGCCAUGUUAACAACUAAAAUGCACUGGUUAGUAAAGAUUUUGACUAGUACUACAAAAAUGGACAAUGUCACCCAGUCAUGUAGAGUAACACUGGGUCAAAAAGCUAAAAAUAAGAGCUAUUUAUUCUUUCCAAGCUACCAAAAGUGACAAUGAGAAACACCUUCAUAAGCCUAUCAAAACACAGACUUGUACAACAUUAAUUUGUUGAUGGUACUGCACAAAGUGCAAUGCCCAACCAGCAGAAUUAAAAGCUAAUAACAAAUGUACUUUUCUUUGUUUCACUUUUUUACGCAGAGCCGUUCCUGCCUGCAGCCAGGAGACUCAAGGACCUGUAGUGUAAGAGAAUGAUGGGAAAAUGAAGUGGGAAUCAGGGCUGCAGAAAGAGUGAUCACAAGAGUGGAAAGCAGCGACCGGAGACUGGAUGCUCAUGGAGAGCUUGGCCCUGAGCUUGGAGCGGCUGCAGGAAACCCUCCCCUGAGCUGGAGCUGCUCUGAGCAGGGAGCUCACCCCAGGGCAGGGGACAGGCUGAAGUCAGGUUUAGUCAAAGUCUGUUGCUCAACUUCCUCUGCAGACACUGAAGAACACUGAGGAGCUCCAAAGAGCCCGUACAAUUUGGAAGAAGUGUUCAUGAAGGAAAUAUCUUGUCUUUGAAAGAGUCCAGAUGGCCAGGUGAAGUCUAUGGUUAAAGGAGAUGAACCUUAAUAGAAAACUGCUUUGUUUUAUAUUAACCAGAAGCAAGGCUGCAAUUUUAAAAGUGAAAAGAAUUAACACCAGCUUUGUCUUCACCCACUCAGAAAAAAGGGAGAGGUGAGAAGAGCUAGUGGAACUCAGAGCUUGCUACAGUUCUUGCCUCAGAAGAGGAAAUUCCUGAACUGAGGGGUGUUACUUUUUCUUCUUUCUUCACCUUUUUCUUACAGCUAAUUAUGGCCAUAAACAUAUAUGUCUGUAUACAUAUAUUCCAUUUUCACAAAUGACAUAACCUCUCCUUAGUGAAAUUGGGUAGUUUUCUAAAACUGAAAGACCAGUCCAUAAGUAUAGGUGCCUAAUUUAUAAAGAAUUUCUUAAACACCUGAGUGACAAGCAGAAGUUGGCUUUAGAUGCUAAGCUGACACCACAUACAAAAAGUUUGGUAUUUUGUUUGUGUACAGUGAUACAGCUGUGCUACUUAAGCAACCCUGUUAUACUGUUCUGAGCCCUUGCCUCCAGUAGGCAUAAAAACAUUUCUGUUCUGCAUUGGCCAAGAUUAUAGCUAUUAGAAUGUAGUGAAGACUGAAGGUGUAACUUAACUAAAUUCUGAUAAAUCAAGGUAAUCCCUAAACUCCUACUCAGCAUUCUUCUCAGUUUGUUUAAACAUGUGAAAACUAUAUCUUCACUGGGAUCCUCUGUUGUUUUACCUGGUAUGUGGUCAGAGCACACCUUUUCCCCCUAGCUUGGGCAUGCUAUUAUAUGUGGUGUAUCUAAGUGAGGAGUGGACUUUGCCUUUUGUGCCAACUAGGCUAAUAAGUAAACACUGAGAGAAACUCAUCUUGGUAAAUUUAAGACACAUUAGGAAUAUUCUGAUCUACCUACACUAUGCUUCUCUCAUGUCUUAAUUGGAGCCUACUAGCAGUGUAUUUAGAAUAUAUUUAAAUAUUCAACUCCAUGCAAGGGCUCCUACUACUGAAACGUUACAGCUGGCAUACUUAUUAAUAUUGUAUAUCCUCUUUUCCAUACAAAAGAGCCCUGAAAUGGUUUUAAGUGACAGAGCAAUGUGAAGAUGGAAGUGUGAGAAACUUGGAAAAUUUACUUCCUGUAUCAAAGUAACAGUGGAAAUACAAUUUUAAAGAUGGAGCAAUUGAGAUGAAUACCAUAAAAGGACUUGUUAAUAUGCUGUUGUAUUUAUAAUAAUACCCCUCAUUUUUAUUACAACACAGAAGUGCUGUUACAUCAGCUGUUCUAAUUUCAAAUCUUCUGCAAAAUGACCAAGCCUUUUUAUUACUUAAGUGAGAAAAUACAUAGUGCCUAGUCAAUAAGUCUGCUUACCUCAGACAAAAAACUGUGCAGAAAGCCUGUGCUGAUGAAGGUGCUGAGCAUCAGACAAGAGGACAAGUGUCUUCAGCUUGAGUGAAUCAAGGACAACAAGCAUCUGGCAGGAUUGACCCCUGCACAGAAAGGAAGCACUCAAGGUCAAUAUGUGGAGCUAUGUCACACUUCCUUUGAUAUUUUGAACCCACAAAUAUAGGAGUGGAUGUGUUGUUUUCUUCUGGGAGGGUUUUUUCCUUCUCUAAAAUGUCUAAUAUCUGCAAAUAUGUAUUUAAGAUGGGCUUCAUGCAAAAAGAAAACCAAAUAUCUUUAAAGACAAAUUGUUUAUGAUUUCAAAAUAGUUACCUUUCAGACUUGUUUUAGAGUCCCCUGUGCAAAGCUCAGAACCUGGAGGAUCAGACAUCUCCUCCCACACAUCCUCAUCAUGAAUUCUCAUCGCGCCGUGGCAGGGAAAGGCACAUAUUCUGACUGACUUCAAUAGAAAGACUUGUCUCCUGUAUCAAGUUAACAGUGAACCAUUGCUAGAGCAAGUGGAUUUGAGGACAACAUUUUGGCCUGUAGGCCAAAUUCCUCAAGACAGAAACAUUGGAGGACAGGCAAAAUGCCACUCACAUUUGUAGUGUGGUAUAAAUAAAUAAUAUUGGCCAAAAGUGAAACUACACUGAAAGUCAUCCUUGCUUUUAGUACAAACAAGGAGCUCCCUGUGCAGUAAGCAGAAUAAAUGAAGCCUGGUUUCCUAUGGAUUUGUGCCUCACAGUUGGAUUCUCCGGUGUCUAGUAAAGUGUAAGCCCCAUUUAAAAGUUUUUCUUGCAUUGCAGGUAUUUAGGCCAUCCAUCUCCCAUGGCGUGAGAUCAACUGAAGCCUGUUCCUAAAUGGAGCAUGCUAAGAAGUGCUUUUUCUUCUGAGCAGCAAUGUCUUUUUGGUAAACUUGUGGAAUUUUAUCUCUGACACCCUUUUCUCAGUGACUGAGUUUGGCCAACAGGUUCAAAACUUAUGGAUGCAGUCAGAUAGACAGUAAGCCUCACAAGCACAGGCACUAAAAGAUGCGUGUAGAUAGUAGUGAUGUUAUCUGAGAUAAGUCAGAUUGGUUGUCUGCCUCUUUGGUGCCAGACCAGAACUGGCCCAUAUAGAAGAAAUUCCCAGAAAACCAGAUGGGCUUCAGUGAGCUCCCACAACAAGUGGGUGAGUUCUUAACUUCUGGCAAAGCUGCCCUCCUGAUACACAUCAAAAUACAAGUAUGACUUUUGCACAUCCUUUCUGUAAAAUUUCCCAGUGGAGGGAGACUCUGAAUGUCUGCUCUCUGCUGUGCUAGGUACUCAUGGAAAGCCUGAAAUAUGUUAAUUCCCACUAAAAUCACAGAAGAUUAACUUUAAAGUGAGUUAUUUAACUCUCUUAUGACUAAGAUAAUUUUUUUCAAGCCAUUACUGCCCAGGAGUUUCUUUUGUGACAUUUCUAGCUGCAUUUUUCACUUUUAAAAUUGCAGCCUUGCUUAUGGCUUCUAAUGACCUAUUUUAGAAAUUUUAGCUUCUUUCAAACUGCAGGGGUAAAAAUUGAUUUCAGUGAAGAAGAAAGUUUUUUGGCUGACAAAGAUCAAGGAA